UAGAUUACGUAGACACAUCAAACAAUGUGUAAUUUGGAUAACUCUGAAAAAAACUGAUUUAAUGGGAAAAACAUAUGAAGAAGGACAUAUGAAGAAGGACCAGUUCAAUAGAAAUGAGUUUGCAGAGGCAUAAGAUAACAAGAGAUCGCCACGGGGAUUCUCAAACAUGGGGAUUAAUAAGGCUACUAUUAUUAUAUAUAGAUUAUAAAGAUAGAUAUAUAGAUAUAGAUAUUUAGAAUAUUUUUAGCCCUUGUUUGGUUGGGGGUUAAGGGGUGGAAUAACCCCUUAACCCCCAUUUUAUCCCCAAACAUCCCAAAAUAUAGGUGGGGUUAGCUAACCCCACUUAACCCCACCUCAAAUAAAUUAUUCCGGAUUAGCUAACCCCACCUAACCCCACCAAACUCCAACCAAACACUAUUUUCUAUUCAUAAUAACCCACUAUCUUUUUUAUCACACCUACUCCAAUCAAUCAUUAUCUUCUUAUCCCACCUACCCAACCAAACACUAUUUUUCAUUAUUCUAAACUAACUCCAACCCCAACCAAACACAAAAAAACUUUAACCCCGCUUUAACCCUAAACUUAACUCUAUUCCUGGAAUAGCUACUUUUUUCUUAACUCCGAACCAAACGGCGGCUUAGAGCUUACAUUUUACUUGGUACACCAUUAAUCGCCC
rnacentral:lncRNA from 1 species